rnacentral:rRNA from 1 species
AGUCACUGACAUUAGAUACCCCGGUAGUCCAGGGUGUAAACGCUGCAGACUUGGUGUUGGAGGCCCUUUGGGGGCAUUCAGUGCCGGAGAGAAGUUGUUAAGUCUGCUACUUGGGGAGUACGUCCGCAAGGAUGAAACUUAAAGGAAUUGGCGGGGGAGCACCGCAACGGGAGGAGCGUGCGGUUUAAUUGGAUUCAACACCGUAAAACUCACCAGGGAGGACUGUUACAUGAAGGCCGAGAUGAAGACUCUGCUAGAUUUUCAG